UGACGUACAGUCCACUGUGAUGGGGACCCUGCCUGAGAUGUAUGCAGCCUCACAGGGCCGAAGCCAACUCACAGUGAGGUGAUGGACACGGUUCGGUGCCCUGGAGCUGUCCUUGUAGGUAAUCUCCGAGUAUUAAAAGGAUCAGCAAUGAAGCACUGAGCUGUUUUGAUUGCAGGUGCCAUCCAGCUAACCUUUGGGAGCAGAUGAGCAUUGAAGGUAUCCCAGAAGAUGACAGCACAUUGUCCAAGUCUGGUCAGAGCCAGUGACA